AGCGGCGAACGGGUGAGUAACGCGUGAGCAAUCUACCUUAGUUACAGGGAUAGCCCGAGGAAACUCGGAUUAAUACCUGAUAUUCUUUAUUUCUCGCAUGAGAAUAAAAGGAAAGGUCAGCCGAACUAAGAUGAGCUCGCGUUCUAUCAGCUAGAUGGUGAGGUAAAAGCUUACCAAGGCUACGACGGAUAGCUGGUCUGAGAGGACGAUCAGCCACACUGGGACUGAGACACGGCCCAGACUCCUACGGGAGGCUGCAGCAGGGAAUAUUGUGCAAUGAACGAAAGUUUGACACAGCGACACCGCGUGUGGGAUGACGGGUCUAGGUUUGUAAACCACUUUCAGGAGGGAAGAAAAUGACGGUACCUCCACAAGAAGCCCCGGCCAACUACGUGCCAGCAGCCGCGGUUAUACGUAGGGGGCGAGCGUUGUCCGGAUUUAUUGGGCGUAAAGAGCUCGUAGGCGGUUCAACAAGUCGGUCGUGAAAGUUCAGGGCUCAACCCUGAAAUGUCGAUCGAUACUGUUGUGACUAGGAUACGGUAGAGGUGAGUGGAAUUCCGAGUGUAGCGGUGAAAUGCGUAGAUAUUCGGAGGAACACCAAUUGCGAAGGCAGCUCACUGGACCGCUAUCGACGCUGAGGAGCGAAAGCUAGGGGAGCAAACAGGAUUAGAUACCCUGGUAGUCCUAGCUGUAAACGGUGGAUACUAGACGUAGGAACUGGAUUGACGGUUUCUGUGUCGUAGCUAACGCGUUAAGUAUCCCGCCUGGGGAGUAC
rnacentral:rRNA from 1 species